GGGCUUGUGGUUUAGUGGUAUAAUGUUCCCUUAGCAUGGGAGAGGUCCGGCGUUCGAUUCGCCGCUAGUCCA
rfam:Sclerotinia sclerotiorum 1980 scaffold_23 genomic scaffold, whole genome shotgun sequence.